GAUGAACGCUAGCGGCAGUCUUAACACAUGCAAGUCGAGGGGUAUAGGUUUUCGGACCUAGAGACCGGCGCACGGGUGCGUAACGCGUAUGCAAUCUACCUUUCACAGAGGGAUAGCCCAGAGAAAUUUGGAUUAAUACCUCAUAGUAUAGCAGUUUCGCAUGAAACCACUAUUAAAGUAUCAACGGUGAAAGAUGAGCAUGCGUCCCAUUAGCUAGAUGGUAAGGUAACGGCUUACCAUGGCUACGAUGGGUAGGGGUCCUGAGAGGGAAAUCCCCCACACUGGAACUGAGACACGGACCAGACUCCUACGGGAGGCAGCAGUGAGGAAUAUUGGUCAAUGGACGCAAGUCUGACCCAGCCAUGCCGCGUGCAGGAUGACGGUCCUAUGGAUUGUAAACUGCUUUUGUACGAGAAGAAACAACAUUACGUGUAAUGUCUUGACGGUAUCGUAAGAAUAAGGAUCGGCUAACUCCGUGCCAGCCGCCGCCGUAACAC
rnacentral:rRNA from 1 species